rnacentral:rRNA from 1 species
UGGAGAGUUUGAUCCUGGCUCAGGACGAACGCUGGCGGCGUGCUUAACACAUGCAAGUCGAACGGAAAGGCCCCUUUCGGGGGGUGCUCGAGUGGCGAACGGGUGAGUAACACGUGGGUGAUCUGCCCUGCACUUCGGGAUAAGCUUGGGAAACUGGGUCUAAUACCGGAUAGGACUCCGAGAUGCAUGUCUUGGGGUGGAAAGCUUUUGCGGUGUGGGAUGGGCCCGCGGCCUAUCAGCUUGUUGGUGGGGUGAUGGCCUACCAAGGCGACGACGGGUAGCCGGCCUGAGAGGGUGUCCGGCCACACUGGGACUGAGAUACGGCCCAGACUCCUACGGGAGGCAGCAGUGGGGAAUAUUGCACAAUGGGCGCAAGCCUGAUGCAGCGACGCCGCGUGGGGGAUGACGGCCUUCGGGUUGUAAACCUCUUUCACCAUCGACGAAGCUUCGGGUUUUCUCGGGGAGACGGUAGGUGGAGAAGAAGCACCGGCCAACUACGUGCCAGCAGCCGCGGUA